AAACUUCCUGACCCUCCUGGAGGAGACAUCAUAGGAAACAGCUUGAAACAGCAACAUAAUGCUGGGGUGAUUGUGGUUGUGCUCCUCCUUGUCGCCAUCGUGGCUGCAGUACUGGUGGUGUUGUAUAAAAAAGGGAUAAUUGGGUCCAGAGUGUCUUGGAGCAGAGGUGGUUCUAGCCCUGAUGCCUCAUAUUCCCAAUGAUGAAGAUGUGAACAAACCUCUCCUGCCGGACAAGAAAGACCAGAAAGACAACAGCCAAGGUAACAGCUCUGAUGGCAGCAGUCAGCCUCUCCUUCCGAUACUGUUUUAAGUCUGAGAGGAACCAGCUCACCACACAAAAACAGUUUUCCA